CCCGGUGAAGUUUAAACGGCCGCAGUUAGGAGCUGUGCUAAGGUAGCGUAGUAAGUUGUCCUUUAAAUGGGGAAAGGAAUGAAUGGUUUGACGUGAGGGUAUCUGUCUCUAGAAAAGUUGAAAAAAUUUUCUUCCUGGUGAAAAGCCCGGGAUAACAUUAAAAGACGAGAAGACCCUUUCGAGCUUGAUUAAGUUUUAUAAAUUUUUGAAAACGGAAGUUUGGUUGGGGCAACUUAGGAGCAAGAAAAGACUCCUUGAUGAUAACAGAGAUCCAAGUUUCUUGAGAAAAGGAAAAAGCUACCGUAGGGAUAACAGCGUUAUCUUCUCUGAGAGAACAAAUUGAAGGGGGG
rnacentral:rRNA from 1 species